rnacentral:rRNA from 1 species
GACGAACCGUGCGAACGUUGUUCGGAAUCACUGGGCUUAAAGGGCGCGUAGGCGGUCAAUCAAGUCUGGGGUGAAAUCUUUCGGCUUAACCGGAAAAGUGCCUUAGAUACUGAUUGGCUCGAGGGAGGUAGGGGCAGCUGGAACUUCCGGUGGAGCGGUGAAAUGCGUUGAUAUCGGAAGGAACGCCGGUGGCGAAAGCGAGCUGCUGGACCUUUUCUGACGCUGAGGCGCGAAAGCUAGGGGAGCAAACGGG